rnacentral:rRNA from 1 species
AUUGAACGCUGGCGGCAGGCUUUACACAUGCAAGUCGGACGAGUGGCGAACGGGUGAGUAAUAUAUCGGAACGUACCGAGUAAUGGGGGAUAAAUAAUAGAAAGAUUAGCAAAUACCGCAUAUUAUUCGAGCGGCCGAUAUGUGAUUAGCUAGUGGGUGGGGUAAAGGCCUACCAAGGCGACGAUCAGUAGCGGGUCUGAGAGGAGGAUCCGCCACACUGGGACUGAGACACGGCCCAGACUCCUACGUGAGGCAUCAGUGGGGAAUUUUGUACAAUGGUCGCAAGCCUGAUCCAGCCAUGCCGCGUGUCUGAAGAAGGCCUUCGGGUUGUAAAGGACUUUUGUCAUGGAAGCGGUACCUGAAGAAUAAGCACCGGCUAACUACGUGCCAGCAGCCGCGGUAAUUC